CCCUGCUUUUGAAGUCCCAAGUGUCUAUCAUUCCCAUCUUUGUGUCCUUGUGUACCCAAGGUUUAGCUCUUACUUAUAAGUGAGAACAUGCAAUGUUUGGUUUUCU